rnacentral:tRNA from 1 species
GGAAAGGUGCCCGAGAGGCCGAUGGGACGCGUUUGGAAUGCGCGCAGGCGGCUUGCCGCCUCGUGGGUUCGAAUCCCACCCUUUCCGCCA